AUUGAACGCUGGCGGCAGGCCUAACACAUGCAAGUCGAACGCGUGGCGGACGGGAGAGUAAUGUCUGGGAAACUGCCUGAUGGAGGGGUAUAACUACUGGAAACGGUAGAAAAUACCGCAUACCACCGUCUGUGCACAGACGGGAUUAUCUAGUAGGUGGGGUAAAGGCUCAUCUAGGCGACGAUCCCUAGCUGGUCUGAGAGGAUGACCAGCCAAACUGGAACUGAGACACGGUCCAGCCUCCUACGGGAGGCAGCAGGGGGGAAUAUUGCACAAUGGGCGCAAGCCUGAUGCAGCCAUGCCGCGUGUGUGAAGAAGGCCUUCGGGUUGUAAAGUACUUUCAGCGGGGAGGCGUUACCCGCAGAAGAAGCACCGGCUAACUCCGUGCCAGCCGCCGCGGUAAUAC
rnacentral:rRNA from 1 species